GACGAACGCUGGCGGCGUGCUUAACACAUGCAAGUCGAGCGGUAAGGCCCUUUCGGGGGUACGACGAGCGGCGAACGGGUGAGUAACACGUGGGUGACCUGCCCUCAGCUCUGGGAUAAGCCUGGGAAACGUGGGUCUAAUACUGGAUAUGACUCCACGGUGCAUGUCGUGGGGUGGAAAGCCUUGUGCGGCUGAGGAUGGGCCCGCGGCCUAUCAGCUUGUUGGGU
rnacentral:rRNA from 1 species